AUACGGAGGGUGCGAGCGUUAUCCGGAUUUAUUAGGUUUAAAGGGUGUGUAGGCGGGAGCCUAAGUCAGUGGUGAAAUCUCACAGCUUAACUGUGAAACUGCCAUUGAAACUGGGUUUCUUGAGUAUAGUUGAGGUAGGCGGAAUGUGUAAUGUAGCGGUGAAAUGCAUAGAUAUUACACAGAACACCGAUUGCGAAGGCAGCUUACUAAGCUAUUACUGACGCUGAUGCACGAAAGCGUGGGUAGCGAACAGGAUUAGAUACCCCAGUAGUCC
rnacentral:rRNA from 1 species